rnacentral:rRNA from 1 species
CGAACGGUAACAGGAAAUAGCUUGGCUAUUUUGCUGACGAAGUGGGCGCACGGGUGAGUAAACUAUAGUUAAUNGNACCCCAAAGACUGGGAUAGCCACUGGAAACGGUGAUUAAUACUAGAUACACCUUCUUAUCACAAGGUAAGAAGGGAAAUGUCUUUUCGCUUUGGGAUCAGACUAUAUCCUAUCAGCUAGUUGGUGAGGUAAUGGCUCACCAAGGCAAUGACGGGUAGCGGUUCUGAGAGGAUGAUCCGCCACACUGGUACUGAGACACGGACCAGACUCCUACGGGAGGCAGCAGUGAGGAAUAUUGCACAAUGGGGGGAACCCUGAUGCAGCAACGCCGCGUGGAGGAUGACGCAUUUCGGUGUGUAAACUCCUUUUAUAUGUCAAGAAAAUGACGGUAGCAUAUGAAUAAGCACCGGCUAACUCCGUGC